UUUUAAAAAAUUUAUCCAUUUCUAUUGUUAAAAAUUGGAGUGGCUAACGAAAUAACUAAACAAUUACGUGUAGUGUAUACUUCGUGCUGAUGUACAUGGGGCAAUUUUUAAUAGUAGAAAUAGAUGAAAUUUUUUAUA
rfam:Gossypium arboreum cultivar AKA8401 contig_58870_1, whole genome shotgun sequence.